rfam:Triticum aestivum genome assembly, contig: Triticum_aestivum_CS42_TGACv1_scaffold_405601_5BL
UUUCUACUCCAUCCGUCCAAAAAUACUUGUCAUCAAAAUGGAUAAAAAUAGAUGUAUCUAAAACUAAAAUAUGUCUAGCUACAUUUCCUUUUAUCCAUUUUGAUGACAAGUAUUUCCGGACAGAGGGAGUAUUUG